AAAUUUAAGAAUCAUAUCUUUUUUAGA
rnacentral:tRNA from 1 species